GUAAUGGCUCACCAAGGCGUCGACGGGUAGCCGGCCUGAGAGGUGACCGGCCCACUGGGACUGAGACACGGCCCAGACUCCUACGGGAGGCAGCAGUGGGGAAUAUUGCACAAUGGGCGCAAGCCUGAUGCAGCAACGCCGCGUGAGGGACGACGGCCUUCGGGUUGUAAACCUCUUUUAGCAGGGAAGAAGCGAAAGUGACGGUACCUGCAGAAAAAGCGCCGGCUAACUACGUGCCAGCAGCCGCGGUAAUACGUAGGGUGCAAGCGUUGUCCGGAAUUAUUGGGCGUAAAGAGCUCGUAGGCGGUCUGUCGCGUCGGCUGUGAAAACUCGGGGCUCAACUCCGAGCCUGCAGUCGAUACGGGCAGACUAGAGUGCGGUAGGGGAGACUGGAAUUCCUGGUGUAGCGGUGAAAUGCGCAGAUAUCAGGAGGAACACCGGUGGCGAAGGCGGGUCUCUGGGCCGUAACUGACGCUGAGGAGCGAAAGCGUGGGGAGCGAACAGGAUUAGAUACCCUGGUAGUCCACGCCGUAAACGGUGGGUGCUAGGUG
rnacentral:rRNA from 1 species